rnacentral:rRNA from 1 species
UACAGAGGUCCCAAGCGUUGUUCGGAUUCACUGGGCGUAAAGGGUGCGUAGGCGGUCGGGUAAGUCUGACGUGAAAUCUCCAAGCUCAACUUGGAAAUGGCGUCGGAUACUAUUCGGCUCGAGGAGUGGAGGGGAGACUGGAAUUCUCGGUGUAGCAGUGAAAUGCGUAGAUAUCGAGAGGAACACCUGCGGCGAAGGCGGGUUGCUGGGCUGACACUGACGCUGAUGCGCGAAAGCCAGGGGAGCGAACGGG